rnacentral:tRNA from 1 species
GGCAACGUGGCCGAGUGGUCUAAGGCGCUGGAAUUAGGUUGUGCUUCAUUGCUCACGUAACAUCCAGUCCGAAAGGGCGCGAGUUCGAACCUCGCCGUUGUCA